rnacentral:misc_RNA from 1 species
CUGCCAUAUGUUGAAGCAAAAAUUCCUAUUCCAUCCUUGUCCUGAAAUGUCACCCAUCUAAUAUCUGCCCUACCAGAACAUUCCCCAGGAACAAUAUAAGGAACAUGCAUGUCACCCACAUUCUUCUCAUAGAUCCCAACAUGGGCUGCUGCUUUCCUAUCUGGAUAACACUCAAAUGGCCCUCUUCCAUACCAUUUAAUCUGGGCCAUUGAUUUUUCCAAGCUAAAUUCAACUCCCACACGUGGCAAAGGAGGAAGAUCAGAGCUUGGAGUGACACUGCACUCAAUAACCAAGUCCCCAGAACCAAAAAUUGUGUAUAUCAUAUCUACUUUGAAUAAAGCAUUUUGAGCAGAGGAACUAUCCUCAUCCCCUGGGAUACCAACAUAAACCACCUCCAUUUUCACAAGAUGAUCAGUUGUAUUCUGUAUGGUACAGGUUCUUGUUUCAAAUUUAAGGUUAUCAAUGCGAGCCGCUUUCCAUCUGGAGUAAUAGCUAUUUUCAUCACCUCCUUUAUCAUUAUCCGUAGGUGCUCGCCAGAAGCAUGGGGAUAUGCCUUUAUUCAUAACAGGGACUCCUUCAACCUUCCAGCUUUCAAUAGUUCCUGUUUGAAUAUUAAACGUUAUCUCCCAAAAUUUCUGCUGGCUGACUCUAACUGUAUCAUCAAUAGUUUCAGUAGACAAUGUAGCAUCUGCAGCUUUAAUAACAUCAGGGGUUAUCUGAUUUCUCGGAGGCAACUGCACUUGUGUAGAGGAGAUAACAUGACCAGCCUCAACCCAGCGUGUUGAAUGCAAAAGCUUAGCAGUGAUUGUUAAAAAAAUUUCUCCAGCAGAAGAUGAAGCCCACAUAGGAUGCCAUGGGCCCAACUCCCAUUCUAUAUCAUAACUGCUCUGGGGUUUUAUAAGUGGAAGUGAUAGAAUUCCUGAACCAAGUUCAUAUCCAUCACCAUGGGCAGCCCAGCUAAACUCCAGUCCUUGGGUUGUUUCAAAAAAGUGAGUGUUGGUUAUCUUAAUUGUGCUUUCCUGGAGGGAAACCUUGAUUGCUUGGUACACAUACUUCACUUCAUGCAAGGCAGGAUGCGGAGUUCUAUCCGGCCAUGUAAGACCAUUCAGACAGAAGUUCAAAUCAUUAGGGGUAUCCCCAAAGUCACCUCCAUAAGCCCAAUGCUUACUACCAUCUGAGCUUUCCUUCAACAACCCCUG